rnacentral:rRNA from 1 species
UACAGAGACUGCAAGCGUUAUUCGGAUUCACUGGGCGUAAAGGGUGCGCAGGCGGCCAAGUGUGUUAGGCGUGAAAGCCCGGGGCUUAACCCCGGAAUUGCACCUAAAACUACAUGGCUAGAGCAUUGGAGAGGGUAGCGGAAUUCACGGUGUAGCAGUGAAAUGCGUAGAUAUCGUGAGGAACACCAGAGGCGAAGGCGGCUACCUGGACAAUUGCUGACGCUCAGGCACGAAAGCGUGGGGGAGCAAAAGGG